CGGAGGGAUCAUUACUGAGUUAUCCAACUCCCAAACCCCUGUGAACAUACCUACGUUGCUUCGGCGGGCCGUCCCGCGGCGCGCCCUCGUGGCGUGACCCGGACCCAGGCGCCCGCCGGGGAACCAAACUCUUGUCUUCCAGUGUCUCCUCUGAGUGGCAUAAGCAAAAAUAAACAAAACUUUCAGCAACGGAUCUCUUGGUUCUGGCAUCGAUGAAGAACGCAGCGAAAUGCGAUAAGUAAUGUGAAUUGCAGAAUUCAGUGAAUCAUCGAAUCUUUGAACGCACAUUGCGCCCGCCAGUAUUCUGGCGGGCAUGCCUGUCUGAGCGUCAUUUCAACCCUCAGCCCCCGCUCGCGGGGCGCUGGCGUUGGGGCCCGGCCGUCCUCGCGGCGGCCGUCCCCGAAACACAGUGGCGGUCUCCCGCAGACUCCCCUGCGUAGUAGCACUACCUCGCAGAAGGGACGAGCGGGCUGGCCACGCCGUAAAACACCCCACUUCUCCAGGUUGACCUCAGAUCAGGUAGGAAUACCCGCUGAACUUAAGCAUA
rnacentral:rRNA from 3 species